GGAAGGCCUCCUUGCACUGCAGAUUCAUCAACUCAAGUGGGGUCCAGGAGCUGGCUUAAGUCUCCCCUUCCCAUCCUGUCUAAACAUUUCCAUGUAGGCCAGAGUCACACAGCUACACCAGGACACCUCUCAUCCAUCAAUACUUCUCAAAAGCUUACACAGCUAAACAUAGGAAGGCACUAACUUCCCAGCAGCUCCCUCUGCUGGUAAUAACAAAAACUGCAGAUUCCUGCCAAUCCAAUUUUUACCUCAAAAAAAAAAAAAAAAGUCGGAGAAACUCUCCAAUGCCAAGGAACUACAGAUAAAUAAACAUAUACAACAGAGCAGUUCUCUUGUAACAGGGGAAGGGCCAACAGAGUUACUAAGCCCAUCCAGACAGCAGGGCCAGCAGAAUGGUCCAAGUUCAGAGGUUCUGAAAGCCACAGGCCCACUCCAUCAUUAAGUUAGAUUCCUUGCUGUAACCUAAGGAACAACCCACUUGGCGCUUCCCAGCUGUAUUCUUUGAGAUUCCUCCUGCAAGCCAUAAAGUGCUGCUCUCUGCCUCUCACCAUACCCCCAGCACAGCCUGAGUGAAGGAGUUCGUUCUUUCUUCUCCCUCCUCAGGAGGAGUCAGAAUGUCUGUAAAUGGUUUUCUUAGCAAUCAGCAUAAGAACCUCAGGAAGUUUCUCCUCCCUUAUUAAAGUGGCUUCCUGAAACUGCCCCAGUGGGAACCUGCCGACUUCCACCUAUCACCUAUGACCCAGACGGGGGCCUCUGACAUGAGAAGCACCAGGUGAGGGCUCCUGUAGGCCACUGGCCUCCCCAGAGGUCAAUGCCUCCAGUGGUUCUAGGCUGGCGGUGAUACCCAGUGCACUGAGUAUCACUGUGAAGGGCCAUUGGGGCCAUCGGCCCAUCCUGGAGGGCUAUGGCUACUGGAGGGUACAGGAAGAAUCCCCAAGGCAGCACCAGCAGCAAGAACACGCGGAAGAAGCAAUAGGCUUAGGAGGAAUGAGGUCCAGGUCCUCAUCAUCUGGAAUCUCAUCCAGGUGAUAUCCAUCCUGCAGCAGCUGCCGGCUCACAUCCUGGUUCACCUGCUAAAGGAAGAGGACAGAAGUGUAAAACAGGAUGCGAGGCAUACAGAGCUGCUGCCUAAAGGCAGGUCCCUGCUCUACCUAGCCCCAGGCCUCUGCACAUCCUGCAUUACAGAAGGACGGCCCUUUCUGUGCAGUGUCUUUCCAGCAGUGAGGAACUCCCCAGAGGCUCACUGAGAACCAGCCAGGCUUCUCUUUAAAAAUCUGUCACCCAGAUAUCCAUAUCAAGAUUGAAGAAUAUGGGGCUGUCCUCUGUGGUGGUACAUGCCUUUGAUCCCAGCACUUGGGAGACAGGCAGGCAGUUCUGAGUUCAAGGCCAGCCUGAUCUACAGAGCGAGUUCCAGGACAGCCAGGGCUAUGUAGAGAGGAAGGUUGGCAACAGAAAACUAGGCUUGAGUAUUAGAGGUAUAUGUGGAACAGUAGAAAGUGGUAGGGGGACAGCAUUGCUGCUAGUUCCUUCUGUGCUGGCAGGGCUAGGUUCCUGCAAAGCCAGCCUGCUUUCACCAGGGUGCUGGUAGGCAGGACAUCAAUGAUGCUAGGACAUUUUUAGACUUGUGAUUCUUGACAGAAUUUCCUUAGUUUUUGACAAUCUUAAUGUCUUAGACAUAUAAGGAGGGUACAAUGUGCAAGCUGUUUUCUCCUUUGCAAAACUGAGAUUAACCAAUGAUUCCUAGGAGAAUAAAGACGAGCUACCCAGUGCG
rnacentral:lncRNA from 1 species